GGGGAUUUGCCCUGGCCAAAGAUGAAACAAGGCUUAUCACUGGCUGUGGAGACAGUGAACUAAGAGUUUGGCAAAUUAGUUCUAAUAAUGAUUCAACAACAGAGAAAGAACAGACAGUUUUUGCUGCCACUAAGCGCACUKCUGAGGAAGCUAACUUAGAUGUUGGAGAAAAUACAUCAGCCAAUCAGGAAAAUCAACAGGUUUGCUGURAUCUGAUUGGUUCAGUUAUUCGUCAAAGUAGAUCAAGAGUGUCAUCAAUAGCUGUCUCUCAAACAGGACAAGUUUUGGGCUGUUUGGGCAAUGACUCACAGCUGGAGUUGUUUCGAAUUGCAUCUGAAGAAGAGAUAAACAAAACUUUACAAAAGAGAUUAAAGAAAACUUUGAAGAA